rnacentral:rRNA from 1 species
GUCUAGAAGCUUCGGCAAUGGGCGAAAGCCUGACCGAGCGACGCCGCGUGCAGGACGAAGGUCUUCGGAUUGUAAACUGCUUUCGACGGGGAUGAAAGGUAAGAGGGCCAAUACCCCCCUUAUUUGACAGUACCCGGUGAAGAAGCCCUGGCUAACUCCGUGCCAGCAGCCGCGGUAAUACGGAGAGGGCAAGCGUUGUUCGGAUUUAUUGGGCGUAAAGCGCGCGUAGGUGGCAUGGUAAGUCGAAUGUUAAAGACCCACGGCUCACCCGGGGGUAUGCGUCCGAUACUGCCGUGCUAGAGUGCGGGAGAGGAAAGUGGAAUUCCUGGUGUAGCGGUGAAAUGCGUAGAUAUCAGGAGGAACACCGGUGGCGAAGGCGGCUUUCUGGCCCGCAACUGACACUGAGGCGCGAAAGCGUGGGGAGCGAACGGGAUUAGAAACCCCUGUAGUCC